rnacentral:piRNA from 1 species
UGGGCAGUUAUUUAUAGCAGUGGCAA